rnacentral:rRNA from 1 species
AUUGAACGCUGGCGGCAGGCCUAACACAUGCAAGUCGAGCGGGGUUUUCGGACCUAGCGGCGGACGGGUGAGUAAUGCGUAGGAAGCUGCCCGAUAGAGGGGGAUACCAGUUGGAAACGACUGUUAAUACCGCAUAAUGUCUACGGACCAAAGUGUGGGACCUUCGGGCCACAUGCUAUCGGAUGCGCCUACGUGGGAUUAGCUAGUUGGUGAGGUAAUGGCUCACCAAGGCGACGAUCUCUAGCUGGUUUGAGAGGAUGAUCAGCCACACUGGAACUGAGACACGGUCCAGACUCCUACGGGAGGCAGCAGUGGGGAAUAUUGGACAAUGGGCGCAAGCCUGAUCCAGCCAUGCCGCGUGUGUGAAGAAGGCCUUAUGGUUGCAAAGCACUUUAAGCGAGGAGGAAGGGGUUGUAGUUAAUAGCUGCAACCUUUGACGUUACUCGCAGAAGAAGCACCGGCUAACUCUGUGCCAGCAGCCGCGGUAACAC